AGACGGCCAAGAGAAAACUUGUUCUGUUUCACCAGGAAACUUGGGAUGAUCUGAGAACCAAGCCCUACACCUUUACUGUGCAGGGUGUCAGAACACCUGAGAGGAAGAGGCCAGCGUACUGCAUCAACACAAGGAAUUUUACUGGCAUAAAGGGAAAACAAAGAUGACACCACCGACCAGCAUAGUUACACCAAUACAAAAACUACGUGUGGACUAGGACUCAAUAGUACCUCAACCAAGAAUGGGGUCCCAUUGUGCUACCCUAAAGAGCUCAGAGUCUAGUGGAGAAAAGCAUUUCAGGAACCAAUGCCUUUAACUUCCAGCCAAUCAAAUUAAAAUUAGAGGUCACUGAUGGAAAUGUUCAUGAGCACAGAGCCAAGAACCAAUUCCUCUGGGAACCCACUAGAAACACACCCGCUCUAUGAUGAUUCCCCUUUUAGGUUUUCAGACUGGUCAGCUAUUUAAUGUGUGCCAUCUUGAUUACAUAUCAUUCUACUUUCUUAAUCAAAAUGGCAUAUGAGACCAAGUCAAACUCCUUCCAGAAGUCAAAGCUCAUGGUGCAGGGCGUCAGUCGACAGUCUACAGGAUUCCCUCCACUUCCAAUGUAUUCUGGGUUUUCUUGGUCUCCUUCCUCUGAAGCAUCAGGGAUGGCCAUGGCUGAAGUGGGAAACUGAACAGGGGGUUUCAUUAUGACAUUACAACAUCUAUGAUGUCAUCCUGCACAACUUCACCCGGAUUGGCAGGAGCACUUACCUGUACCAGGAGAUUUAAUGGAUUCUGGAGGACUCCUUCCCAGUGCCAUGAGCACAUGAAGCACUUCAGGUUCCUGUACUAAAGAGUGAAGGAUUCCAACAAUUGUUCCUGGAGGAGACAUAGCACAUGCCCCUGAAGCAUCCUGUUUGUUCACUUACUCCUGUUCCAAACCAUUUCAGUUCUGUGUUCAAUGUAUGCAUGUCAAUAAAAGUUACUAUUCA